UACAAAGAAAGUCAUUUGGAGCUCCUCUUGGUCAUCAGAUCUGCUGUGAACUUCUAGGAGCUUCAUGGAAAAGUCCAUUCGCAAAGGACAGCAUUUCCUAGAUAACGCUCAUUGAACAUCCAAGGUCAACGUCUGAAGCAUCUCUGCCUCUUCCCUGGGGGAGUACCAGGUACCAAAGAGUUUACAAGGGGCUCUCAUCACAGAUUCUUGCUGCUCACUCACGUGGGCCCAUUCCCCUCGUGACCCUGAUGGCCCACGGAUGUACACUCACCUGUCAGCAGUACUCUUCACAGCCAUUUUGUAAAAUUGGAGCAUUGUCCAAAAAAAAUAAAUGAAAUUCAGGGACCUGGGAAAACCAAAACUUGACAUGAUCCAUCCAGAGUUCUGAAAAAUGUCAUAAGGGAAGUGUGAUGGGAGUAACGGAAAGAAUGCUUGUUACAAUUGCAGCAGAAGCAGCACCAAGGUAACCUUCAGAUAAAUCUGAUAUUGUGAAGAUGGGCAGAUAGACUCUUUGCUGCUACCCUUUACGAGAGACGCAAUCAGAAGCCAAUUCUGUAAAUCUUGCAGU